UCGAUUCCAAAUCUGUUCACAGUCGGACUUUUGCCGCUUUGGCCAUGGGCAUGAGAGAUUGGGUCUUUGCAAUUGCAGAGAUGCCAGAUACAGACGUUUUUAAUUGCAAAACUGAAAAAAUGGCAAUGUUGUGGCUUGCGUGUUAUUUUCAAGAUGGCUGCUGUCAUUUGACGAGAAUCGACAGCAACUGCAGAUCUCUGAAUAAUGGACCAUCGUCCAGUCAGAUUAACAGCCAGGUUAAGUCUGGGCUUUCUUCAUUGCUGAAAUUUGUUUUGUCACACGGAGAACUUCAGAACAAUCAAACGUUUUUGGUAUAGUGUACAAUCGGAAUGUGGUUUACAUGAUUUAAUUUCCAUUGGUUUAAACUGAUUGAACUUCAUUUUUUUAUAAUGUUGGAAAAGCCUGCCAACUGUAGACUCCUUUGUAACUUUUCUAAAAGUCAAAUAUGAGGGAUUCUGUCACAUCCUUUCUCGAUGGUUCAUGGUCAGUUUGUUUUGCAGUCAUUUUCCAGUUGAGAGAUGUGCUGAAAUGGAGCUUGUGCAGUCUUGCAGUUGAACAUCAUACUUUAAUGUGUCAUUUGCCUAUGUUGGUGUCCAUGCAGUGUUGGUAAAAUGAUCAAAUUAAUGUUUCCUGAUGGCUGUCGGUCUUAUUUAAUCGGUUGCAUUUUGUCGAUUUGUCGUCUCUUGCUACCUAUACCGGCGUUUAGUUUAAUCGUUUUAAUUUAACCUGCAAACGACGCCAAUAUUUCUAACAGCUUGAAGGAAGAGAAAUCUAGUUUGACCAAAUUACCACGGACAUUUAAGCGAACUUGCAACAAAUUAAUGAAAAUCAUGUCCUAAAAUAUUAUACAAACACAAAAUAAGAUUUGUUUAGCUUAUCAGAAUGAGUGUAGCCAUCCCCUGAAUUUAAACCUAUGAAAAUUUGUUGAAUAAAGUAUGAAAAAAUUGA